rnacentral:rRNA from 1 species
CCUACGGGCGGCAGCAGUGAGGAAUAUUGGUCAAUGGGCGUAAGCCUGAACCAGCCAAGUCGCGUGAGGGAUGAAGGUUCUAUGGAUCGUAAACCUCUUUUAUAAGGGAAUAAAGUGUGGGACGUGUCCUAUUUUGUAUGUACCUUAUGAAUAAGGAUCGGCUAACUCCGUGCCAGCAGCCGCGGUAAUACGGAGGAUCCGAGCGUUAUCCGGAUUUAUUGGGUGUAAAGGGUGCGUAGGCGGCCUUUUAAGUCAGCGGUGAAAAUCUGUGGCUCAACCCUUGUAUUGCCGUUGAAACUGGGGGGCUUGAGUAUGUUUGAGGCAGGCGGAAUGCGUGGUGUAGCGGUGAAAUGCUUAGAUAUCACGGAGAACCCCGGUUGCGAAGGCAGCCUGCCAAGCCAUGACUGACGCUGAUGCACGAAAGCGUGGGGAUCAAACAGGAUUAGAUACCCGAGUAGUC